rnacentral:lncRNA from 1 species
CUGCUUCCUCUUUCAUGCUGCUCAUCACUUUCUUCAAGAUCUUCAUCACCGAUAGCCUCAAGGAACGCUCUCUUGUGCAACACUGGCUCCUCCUCUUCUACUACCCAUUGGUCUGCUGUGUUUGUGACAAAUAUUAUGUCUAAGUCUAUCGGCCCAUAGUCUUCAAGCUUCCUUCUUAUUUGUCGCUCUCGGAGGUUUAAAUUAUAAUAAACGUAGACUAGUUUAUGAAGCUUCUCAGAAGCGAGUCGAUUCCUUCUAGUAGUGUGCAACCAUUGGAACGUACUCCAGUUGCGCUCACAGUCAGUAGCAGAACAUGUCU